rnacentral:lncRNA from 1 species
UAAAUUACUCUUUUUGUCCUGAAACUUUUCGAUUCUCAAAUUUUAAUUUAUAAUCGUUUUUAGCUCGGACUUUUUAAAUUGUUGCAAUUUAUGUCUGACAGCCUAAUUUGAUUGACUAAAUAUUAAUAUAUUUAUAAUGUGGAAGUGAUAUAACAUUUUAAUCAUUACUGUGUCAUUAAUACAUCACUUCUAUAUUAAUGACACGCCAAUAUUUAAUCAACUCAACUAGGUUGCAAAAAUUUAAUUGCAAUAAUUCAAAAAGUUCAAGCUAGAAAUUACUAUAAAUUAAAAU